rnacentral:lncRNA from 1 species
AAUGUAUUGAGGUUCUAAUAGUAACAGUUCAAUAUGGGGUGUGUAUUAAUGUAUUGAGGUCUGAUAGUAACAGUUCAAUAUGGGGUGUGUAUUAAUGUAUUGAGGUCUGAUAGUAACAGUUCAAUAUGGGGUGUGUAUUAAUGUAUUGAGGUCUAAUAGUAACAGUUCAAUAUGGGGUGUGUAUUAAUGUAUUGAGGUCUAACAGUAACAGUUCAAUAUGGGGUGUGUAUUAAUGUAAUAUAUUCUAAUAGUAACAGUUCAAUAUGGGGUGUGUAUUAAUGUAAUAUAUUCUAAUAGUAACAGUUCAAUAUGG